UGUGUGGACGUGUCUGUACUCUUGGUGAGAUAUCUUGGGCGUUUCCCAUGCUGUGUGAUCUUGGGAACGGCAUCCCUGUGUGGGCUUAUUUGUGUGAGAGAGAUACAACCCAGUGACCACGGAGUGGGCACGUGCACGUGGUGGACCAUGUUAUAUCCGUGGAAGGACUUAUGGUGGGACAAUUAAUAUCCAAACCAAAAACUUAUGCUUUCCCAGUCCUACGGAACUUACCUUAUGUGAGACGUCUUGUCGAAUGCCAUCUAGUCCAUCCGAUAGAACUGAUGUCAACAACCUCCUAAUUAUUGUAUAUUUGUAAAUAAAUUGUGUUUGUUUUGUAAA